GCCUAGAAUAAAUUCUUCGUUCAAUCGCUAAAAUUGGUGAGUAUAAUUCAUCAAUCACCAAAUUCGCGAGUAUAAUUCAAUAUUCUCUCCUCGUUAUGAAUAAUGACUCACCUUGCUUUGCUCCAGUGUCCUAUAUGUCAUCAAAUCAUUCACAGCUAUAGAGAAUUCAUGAAUCAUGUUCUAGCACAUCCAAUAGACGGGCAUGAAGAAGAGAUAUACAUAACAGAAAGUUCAAGUCACGGACCUCUUGUAUCGUCAUUUAGAUCUUGUCAACCAACGCGAUACACAAGAGUCGUGACAAAUGAACGCACUAUGUUUCAACCACCACCACCGCCAUAUCGUCCCAGUUCAAUUAGAAGUAACCGGUUAAACCAACAACAACAAAUGCUUCAGUUCACAAGAAGGGUUCAGAUUCCCUCCUUAUUUCCCCCCUUCUAUUUUUCGCAAAACCCUAACCUUUUGAGUGGAGUUUUUUUUAGUUGCUAAUAUUUCUAAGCCUGAUGAGAGACAAAGUAGUACUCUAAGACCUUUUGUUGCCAAGUCCAAAUCGAUAGUUGAAUCCAAAAUAUAGCAUCUUGAUAUAACACUCCUAAAGAAGAAUCCAUCGUUUUGAAGCGACAAUAUGGAGGUCUAUUCUGCCUAUGGAGGUCGCAAAUCUGAACUUCUAGAGAACAUAGCUUUUUCUUCUAUCGCUAGGUCCCAUUUCGCUGGUAAAGGUCGCCGAUCUGGGCUGCCAAAGAACUCAUUGUUUUCUUGCACAACUAGGUCUAUUAUCGAGCAAAGCCAACCCCAUUUCACAUUUAGUUCCUUUCGGUGGAAUCAAAUGCUAUCGAAUUUGUGCUAAGGCUUUUUGGUAGCAAACGGGCACAACCAGUAGUGCAAGAAUCUGCAGCUAAGGGCAUUUUACUAAGGUUACCUGCUGGCCAUUUGCAUAGGUUUGGAUUCAAGAUUAUCUCGAAGGUGCAACGAUUGCGGACGAAAGCACUGAAGAAGACCUUACUUGAAAGUUGUUGAUCGUUGUUAAACUUUCUAUUAUCAUGUUCAAUAUUUUAGUUUAAAACUUUUUGUAUGCAAACUGAUCUAUUUUGACUUUUGAAUUGUUGAUCAAACAAUGUAUUCAUAUUUUGUUUUUGUAUAUGGAUAAAGCUAGUUGAAUAUUUUAUUUUA